rnacentral:lncRNA from 1 species
AAUGUGUUGUGUGUGUUCUCUUUGUGAAUUUGUGUUUCAUACUGUUGUGUCUGUGCUCCCCCCAGGUCUCCGGGGGUGGAUCCGAAACAACUGGCUGCAGAGCUACAGAAGGUGUCCCUGCAGCAGGCUCCUCCACCUACCACCGCCACGUCCUCCUCCUCCACGGUGGGGGGAGAGAAAGGACCCCARUCUGCCAUCUCAGGCGCCGCCUCGGCCACUUCUAGRGCCAUCCAGAGUCCGGGACAGCCGGGGUCGCCCUCCGUCAGCAAGAAACGCCACAGCAGCAAGUCUGCGGAACCAGUGAAGACACAAUCCCACCCUGUUACUGGAGAGAUACAGGUCAGCUGACCAAGCCUUGUUUUGAGAUUCCUUGACUCACCACUGCUUGUAUAUCCAUGCACUUCAUAAGGUGUUUUACUAAGGCCAGUCGUCUCGUUGAGAUUCCACCGUCUCUUGAUUUUGCAGCUUCAAAUCAACUAUGACAAGCAGCUGGGGAACCUGAUUGUUCACGUGCUCCAAGCCAGGAACCUGGCCCCCCGAGACAACAACGGCUACUCCGACCCCUUCGUCAAAGUCUACCUCCUCCCGGGGAGGGGGUGAGUCUGUUGGAUACGCUACCAGUAGGGUUUACAAAAUUUACAGGUUUCUAAAUAAAAUCCUGGCAGAUUCUUUGAGUCAGGAGAGAAUAAGCGGCUUAUCCGGAAUCCUCCAAUCCGGAUUUCUGGGAAACUUGGGAAUUUUGGGAAACUAACAGAAUUCUGCAACCCUACCAAAGAAAGAAAGCUGGUCUGGAAUCAAAACUGAAUAUCACUCUUUUUAAAAUUUGAAAUGAAAGUAUAUUCAGUUUAGUUUGCAGGCAAGCAGUGAGGAGUGGUAUUCCGUUUGUAUUCUAGGCCAUAGCAGAGAGGUAGGGACAGAAACACUGGAACUAGUCAAGUCAAGGAGAGAACAAUCUCUUUGGUGAGAGAAGUUAAGUACACUUCACAGAUCACCUAUAGUAGCCUACACACUACUGCCAUUCUGUAACUCUUUCACUUCUCAUKCUUGCUCUGUUGCUGUGCUCUGUCCAUGUAUCUAUGCUCUAUAAUGUUACCAGAGCAUUUCCUUGUCAGAUGUGCAUCACUGUGAGUUAAUAAUGAACUGUGUCAUAUCGUAGUGGAAGCAUUAUCGAUAGCAGUGUUGAAUGGUUGUGUGGUAAAGUGUUACUGUAAUUGUGUUAAGUGUAUAUUAGUGGAUAUAAAACACUGGAAAGGUGAUUAGUUUAGUUUCAGGGUGUUUCACGUGUGAAAAGGCCUUAGGAAUUCAGGUCAUGUAGACA